rfam:Chlorocebus sabaeus isolate 1994-021 chromosome 26, whole genome shotgun sequence.
GCUUGACUAGCUCAGUUGGUAGAGCAUGGGACUCUUAAUCCCAGAGUCAGUGGGUUCAACCCUCACAUUGAGUG